rnacentral:rRNA from 1 species
CAGUCGCCGCGGUAAUACAGAGGGUGCGAGCGUUAAUCGGAUUUACUGGGCGUAAAGCGUGCGCAGGCGGUGUUGUAAGACUGAUGUGAAAUCCCCGGGCUCAACCUGGGAACUGCAUUGGUGACUGCAACGCUGGAGUGCGGCAGAGGGGGAUGGAAUUCCGCGUGUAGCAGUGAAAUGCGUAGAUAUGCGGAGGAACACCGAUGGCGAAGGCAAUCCCCUGGGCCUGCACUGACGCUCAUGCACGAAAGCGUGGGGAGCAAACAGGAUUAGAGACCCCCGUAGUCCCUGUCUCUUAUAC